AGAGUUUGAUCAUGGCUCAGGAUGAACGCUGGCGGCGUGCCUAACACAUGCAAGUCGGACGGGCUCCGGGUAGCAAUAUCCGGGGCCAGUGGCGAACGGGUGAGUAACACGUGGGUAACCUGCCCUCGAGUGGGGAAUAAGCUCCCGAAAAGGGGUCUAAUACCGCAUAACGUUUCAUGGCGAUGGUCAUGAAACCAAAGCCCAAAAGGCGCUCGAUUAAGGGCCUGCGGCCUAUCAGCUAGUUGGUAGGGUAAUGGCCUACCAAGGCUACGACGGGUAGCCGGCCUGAGAGGGUGUCCGGCCACACUGGGACUGAGACACGGCCCARACUCCUACGGGAGGCACCAGUGGGGAAUUUUGCGCAAUGGGGGAAACCCUGACGCAGCGACGCCGCGUGGAGGAUGAAGGCCUUCGGGUUGUAAACUCCUGUCAGAGGGGACGGAAUCCCGCAAGGGACUGACGGUAACCUCAGAGGAAACCCCCGGCUAACUACGUGCCAGCAGCCGCGGUAAUACGUAUGGGGCAAGCGUUACUCGGAAUUACUGGGCGUAAAGGGUGAGUAGGCGGCUGGGCAAGUCAAGGAUGCAAGCCCGAGGCUCAACUUCGGAACCGUCCUUGAAACUGCUCAGCUUGAGGGUAGUUGAGGAGAGCGGAAUUCCCGGUGGUGCGGUGAAAUGCGUAGAUAUCGGGAGGAACACCUGAGGCGAAGGCGGCUCUCUAAGCUACUCCUGACGCUGAAUC
rnacentral:rRNA from 1 species